rnacentral:misc_RNA from 1 species
GGAAGGAUCAUUAACAAAACUUGAACUUAUAACUAACUGAACUUUGUGCAUUCGUGCACUUCUUAAAAGUAUCUAACUAAACACAUAAAUAAAUUUGGUUGAUAAAAAGUAAAUUUUCAACGAUGGAUGUCUUGGCUCCCAUAACGAUGAAGAACGCAGCGAAAAUGCGAUAUGCAAUGUGAAUUGCAGAACCACGAAUCAUCGGAUCUUUGAACGCAACUGGCGCUGAUAAACUCAGCAUGCUUGUUUCAGUGUGCGCAAACAAAUAUAAUCAUAAUGCGAGAGAGAUCUCUCUUGUCAAAUAAAUGCUCUUGGUAGCAAUCACUUCUGUGAUUACUUAGAGAAACUUUACCUUAUUUGCACCUGAAAAAUCAAGCAAGAUGACCCGCUGGACUUAAGCAUAUUACUAAGCGGAGGAAAAGAAAUUAACAAAGAUUGCCUCAGUAAGGGCGACUGAACCGGCAAUAGCUCGAAAUUGAAAUCGGAGGUUCAAAGAACCCUCGAAUUGUAAUCAGGUCCGCCUAAAUACGUGCGCUUCCUCAAGAGCAUCGAAAGGCUCGCCAAAGAGGGUGCCAGCCCCGUGAAGGAGGCGCGCGAUACAGGGGGAAUACUAAAGAGUCGGGUUGUUUGGAACUGCAGCCCUAAGCGGGAGAUAUGAAUCUUCCAAAGCUAAAUAUGGAUGGGAGACCGAUAGCGAACAAGUACUGUGAAGGAAAGAUGAAAAGGACUUUGAAAAGAGAGUGAAAAGAUCUGAAAUCGUUGAGAAGGAAGCGGUACAAACUGACGGUCGAUAAGAUGGGAGACGCGAUGAACAGUCGCGGAAUUCUUACCGAAACGACGGGCAAAAUGAAGUUAAGCAGACUAAAAAAGGCGUAAGCCGGACAGAGCCUGCAUAGCUUGAGGGCGCUAAUGCGAUUUUGCCAAAAUGGUUUGUACUGUCCCGUCUUGAAACACGGACCAAGGAGUCCAACCAAUGUGCGAGUGUGCGAGUGGAAAAACUCAUACGCGAAAUGAAAGUAAAAGGUGCGCAGAGAAAUCGGCAGCAUCGACCGACCCGGGAAAAAGGGUUUGAGUAGGAGCACAUUUGUUGGGACCCGAAAGAUGGUGAACUAUGCCUGAGUAGGGUGAAGUCAGGGGAAACCCUGAUGGAGGCUCGAAGCGAUGUUGACGUGCAAAUCACUCGUCAAACUUGGGUAUAGGGGCGAAAGACUAAUCGAACCAUCUAGUAGCUGGUUCCCUC